GCCAUGGUGGUUCUGUGGUAGAAUUCUUGCCUUUCAUGCAGGAGACCUUGGUUCGAUUCCCCACCAAUGCA
rnacentral:tRNA from 1 species